AGUAAGCCUAGCUGUAUCUUUAUAUGCAGUUCUUGACCAUCCCUUCUUACUGGUGAUUACACCCUCCAGUGGUAGUGUUUUAGAAGCAACUUUAUCAACAGUAUUUGCACGCAUCACUGAACGGCAAAGACUGUAUGCCUUGCAAAUGGAAGAAGUUGCUUUAGCGCUGUUCAUAAAUGGCAUAUAUGACUGACCACGUGACAAAUAAGCUUGAUAUCUGAAGAAAUCCUCACACAGAGCACUGUCUUUUAUGAACCAGUUAUUUUGCAAAUUGUUGAAGAAGCUCUUUCUACUUGUGCUUUCUGGGAAUCCGCAAAAUUGGCACCUGCAUUUGAAGAUGUGAAAGUGAAAAACUGAAGUAAACAUUUCUUCCCA
rnacentral:lncRNA from 1 species